AACGUUCGGGUUCGGUUAAACCAUCUGACUCGCUCAUCACUUCAAAGGUAGUUUUUCUUGGUUGUAUAUUUCUUGUACAAAAUUGUUUUUCUUAGUGUUGAAAAUAUUUUCCAAUUGCAUGUCUAAAAUCCUUGGUUUCUUAAAAUUUUCCAAAACCGAAACCUACCGAAGGUUCGGGUUCGGUUUCUUAAAAUUUUCCAAAACCGAAACCUACCGAAGGUUCGGGUUCGGUUUUUCAAAAUUUUGUUGAACCGAAACCAACCGAACGUUCGGGUUCGGUUUUUCAAAAUUUUCUGGAACCGAAACCAACCGAACGCUCGGGUUCGGUUUUUCAAAAUUUUCUGGAACCGAA
rnacentral:lncRNA from 1 species